rnacentral:tRNA from 1 species
AAGAGAUUAGUUAAAAUAAUAACAUUAAUUUGUCAAAUUAAAAUUAUUUAUUAAUAUUUCUUA